rnacentral:rRNA from 1 species
GCGUUAUCCGGAAUCAUUGGGCGUAAAGCGCCUGUAGGUUGUUUAAUAAGUCUGUUGUUAAAGACUAGGGCUUAACCCUAGGAAAGCAAUGGAAACUACUAGACUAGAGUAUGGCAGGGGUAGAGGGAAUUUCUAGUGUAGCGGUGAAAUGCGUAGAUAUUAGAAAGAACACCGGUGGCGAAAGCGCUCUACUGGACCAUUACUGACACUCAGAGGCGAAAGCUAGGGUAGCAAAAGGGAUUAGAUACCCCUGUAGUCCUAGCCGUAAACGAUGGAUACUAGAUGUUGCGUAUUUUAUGCAGUAUCGUAGCUAACGCGUUAAGUAUCCCGCCUGGGGAGUACGCUCGCAAGGGUGAAACUCAAAGGAAUUGACGGGGGCCCGCACAAGCGGUGGAGCAUGUGGUUUAAUUCGAUGCAACGCGAAGAACUUUACCAGGGCUUGACAUACUACAAAUCUUUUUGAGAAGAAAGAGUGCUUUCGGGAAUGUAGAUACAGGUGGUGCAUGGCUGUCGUCAGUUCGUGUCGUGAGAUGUUGGGUUAAGUCCCGCAACGAGCGCAACCCUCGUUUUUAGUUGCCAUUUAUUGGGUUCUCUAGAAAGACUGCCCGGUGACAAACCCGGAGGAAGGUGAGGAUGACGUCAAGUCAGC